rnacentral:rRNA from 1 species
UACGGGGGGGUGCGAGCGUUGUCCGGAAUCACUGGGCGUAAAGGGCGCGUAGGUGGUUUGAUAAGGGUGUGGUGAAAGUCCGGGGCUCAACCCCGGAUCUGCCGUGCCGACUGUCAAACUCGAGGACUGUAGAGGCAGACGGAAUUCCGGGUGUAGCGGUGGAAUGCGUAGAGAGUCCGGAGGAGACCGGUGGCGAAGGCGGUCUGCUGGGCAGUUUCUGACACUGAGGCGCGACAGCGUGGGGAGCAACAGG